UAACCGGCGAUUUCCGAAUGGGGAAACCCAGUGUGAUUCGUCACACUAUCAUUAACUGAAUCCAUAGGUUAAUGAGGCGAACCGGGGGAACUGAAACAUCUAAGUACCCCGAGGAAAAGAAAUCAACCGAGAUUCCCCCAGUAGCGGCGAGCGAACGGGGAGCAGCCCAGAGCCUGAAUCAGUGUGUGUGUUAGUGGAAGCGUCUGGAAAGGCGCGCGAUACAGGGUGACAGCCCCGUACACAAAAAUGCACAUAUUGUGAGCUCGAUGAGUAGGGCGGGACACGUGGUAUCCUGUCUGAAUAUGGGGGGCCCAUCCUCCAAGGCUAAAUACUCCUGACUGACCGAUAGUGAACCAGUACCGUGAGGGAAAGGCGAAAAGAACCCCGGCGAGGGGAGUGAAAAAGAACCUGAAACCGUGUACGUACAAGCAGUGGGAGCACGCUUAGGCGUGUGACUGCGUACCUUUUGUAUAAUGGGUCAGCGACUUAUAUUCUGUAGCAAGGUUAACCGAAUAGGGGAGCCGAAGGGAAACCGAGUCUUAACUGGGCGUUAAGUUGCAGGGUAUAGACCCGAAACCCGGUGAUCUAGCCAUGGGCAGGUUGAAGGUUGGGUAACACUAACUGGAGGACCGAACCGACUAAUGUUGAAAAAUUAGCGGAUGACUUGUGGCUGGGGGUGAAAGGCCAAUCAAACCGGGAGAUAGCUGGUUCUCCCCGAAAGCUAUUUAGGUAGCGCCUCGUGAAUUCAUCUCCGGGGGUAGAGCACUGUUUCGGCAAGGGGGUCAUCCCGACUUACCAACCCGAUGCAAACUGCGAAUA
rnacentral:rRNA from 1 species